rnacentral:rRNA from 1 species
UAAUUGAAAAGAGCAUUUGGUGGAUGCCUUGGCAUCAACAAUCGAUGAAGGACGUGGAAGACUGCGUUAUGCCUCGGGGAGUAGUCAAUCAUGCAUUGAUCCGGGGAUGUCCGAAUGAGGGAACUCAUACAGAGAAACUCUGUAUAUCCUUGUCUGAAUAUAUAGGGCAAGGAGGGUAACGGCCUGAACUGAAACAUCUAAGUAGGGCUAGGAAAAGAAAACGAAUGUGAUUCCCUGAGUAGUGGUGAGCGAAACGGGAGAAGCUAAAAACGUAUGUCAUGUAAGAGGCCACUCGUUGUGGCAUACGGGAAGCGGGAUACUGCUGCGUUAUGGUGGCUCAUAACGGUCAUGAGUGUACAGAGAGAUGAACGGUGUUGGAACGCACGGCCAUAGAAGGUGAGAGCCCUGUAAACGAAAGCUGGAACACAGUGGUUGCAGUACACCCAAGUACCAUGGAGCACGUGAAAUUCUGUGGGAAUCUGCCCCGACCAUGGGGUAAAGCUAAAUAUGUGUUGAUGACCGAUAGUGUACGAGUACCGUGAGGGAAAGGUGAAAAGAACCCCGGGAGGGGAGUGAAAUAGAAUCUGAAACCAAAUGUUUAUAAUCGGUAGAAGCGGUGUAUACGAACACGCGACUACGUACCUUUUGCAUAAUGAGCCAACGAGUUGCUCCUACAUUGCAAGGUUAAGUUUUGAAAGAACGGAGCCGGAGCGAAAGCGAGUCUGAUAAGGGCGUCUAGUAAUGUGGGGCAGACCCGAAACCUAGUGAUCUAUCCAUGAGCAGGGUGAAGUGCRAGUAAAAUUGCAUGGAGGCCCGAACCGGUGUGGGUUGAAAACUGCUCGGAUGACUUGUGGAUAGGAGUGAAAGGCUAAUCAAACUAGGAGAUAGCUGGUUCUCUUCGAAAUAUAUUUACGUAUAGCCUUGUUGGGUARCAUGUGGCGGUAAAGCACAGYUUGGGCUAGGGGUCGCGAGAUUACCAAACCYUURCUAACUCGGAAUGUUACAUGYGURAACGACAGGAGUCGGACUGCGGGGGAUAAGCUUCGUGGUCGAGAGGGAAAGAGCCCAGAUCGCCGUAUAAGGUCCCUAAGUGUUUGCUAAGUGGGAAAAGAAGUGAAAAUACACAGACAGCCAGGRGGUUGGCUUAGAAGCAGCCAUCCUUUAAAGAAAGCGUAAUAGCUCACUGGUCAAGUGUUUUUGCGCUGAAAUAUAAACGGGGCUAAGCARRYCACCGAAGACGCGGAUUCUCUAGAAAUAGGGAGUGGUAGAAGAGCGUUCUUAAGGAGCGAGCGUCACUGUAAAGAGACGUUAUGGCCUUAAGAAGUGAAUAUGUUGGUAUAAGUAACGAAAAAACAGGUGAGAUUCCUGUUCGCCGUAAACCUAAGGGUUCCGUGAGAGAGGUUUAUCCACUCAGGGUUAGUCGAURCCUAAGCCGAGGCCAAKUGGAGUAGGCGAUGGRAAACAGGUUAAAUAUUCCUGUACCRCUGUAUGCGUUUGAGYGAUGGAGUGACGCAGUAAGAUAUGCUAAUUUGGAAAAUGGAUUGCCAGACUAAGCGUUCAGGGAAUCUACCAUGGAAAAUCCGGGUAGGUAUAUCCUCAGGCGUGAUGGGCGUAUCAAUCCACAAGAAAGAUACGUUUAGCAGAGUCUACACUGACUAGAAAACCUUCUAGCGAGCAAAUCAGUGAUCGUACCGUAAACCGACACAGGURGKUGRGWWGAGWAUWCUCAGGCGUUGAGAUAACUUUCAUUAAGGAACUCGGCAAAAUAAUCUCGUAACUUCGGGAAAAGAGAUGCCACUACCCGUUAUUACGUUUCGAUGUAAGAAGCGGAUUGUGGCUGCAACAAAGAGGCCCAAGCGACUGUUUAACAAAAACACAGGGCCAUGCGAACUCGUAAGAGGAAGUAUAUGGUCUGACGCCUGCCCAGUGCUGGAAGGUUAACAGGAGAGGUCAACCGUAAGGUGAAGCUUUGAAUCGAAGCCCCAGUAAACGGCGGCCGUAACUAUAACGGUCCUAAGGUAGCGAAGUCCCUUGUCGGGUAAAUUCCGACCCGCAUGAAUGGCGUAACGACUUGGGCGCUGUCUUGAUGAAAGACUCAGUGAAUUUGUAGUGACGGUGAAAAUGCCGUCUACCCGCGAUAGGACGGAAAGACCCCGUGCACCUUUACUAUAACUUGACAUGGAUAUUUGGAUCUAUAUGUGUAGGAUAGGCGGGAGACUUUGAAGUAAUGGCGCUAGCUGUUAUGGAGUCAUCCUUGAAAUACCGCCCUUAUAAAUUUGGAUAUCUAACCUUAAACCGUGAUCCGGUUGAGAGACAGUGUCUGGUGGGUAGUUUGACUGGGGUGGUCGCCUCCUAAAAUGUAACGGAGGCGUUCAAAGGUUCCUUCAUGGCGUAUAGAAAUCGCCAUAACGAGCGCAAAAGUAUAAGGGAGCUUGACUGCAAGGCAUACAGGCCGAGCAGGUGCGAAAGCAGGAUUUAGUGAUCCAGUAGCUCUGAAUGGAAAGGCUAUUGCUAAACGGAUAAAAGGUACGCCGGGGAUAACAGGCUUAUCUCCUCCAAGAGUCCAUAUCGACGAGGAGGUUUGGCACCUCGAUGUCGGCUCAUCGCAUCCUGGGGCUGGAGAAGGUCCCAAGGGUUUGGCUGUUCGCCAAUUAAAGCGGUACGCGAGCUGGGUUCAGAACGUCGUAAGACAGUUCGGUUCUUAUCCAUCGUGGGCGUAGGGUAUUUGAGAGGACCUGUCCCUAGUACGAGAGGACCGGGAUGGACGAACCUCUGGUCUGCCAGUUGUCUACCAAAGGCAAAGCUGGGUAGCUAAGUUCGGACGAGAUAACCGCUGAAAGCAUCUAAGUGGGAAACUUACCUCAAGAUGAGAUACCCCGUAUGGGAGCAAUCCCAUACUUAAGAUCCCUUGAAGACUACAAGGUUGAUAGGCUGGGUGUGUAAACGUAGCAAUAUGUGUAGCUAACCAGUACUAAUAGAUCGAGAGUUUUAUUCGCA